GGGAAUAGGAGACUUGAUAUUUAAGCAGCUUGAAUGGUUUCUUUUCUUUUCUUUAUUUUUAAAGAAAUGCACUUGCCUAUGAUACUGUCUCUCCAGUGAAAUGAUUACUCCUCCAUUACUCUAUUGAUACAAUAUUGUGCAUGCUAGUGUUGUAUUUCUAUACAGUAGCUUGAAAUUUAUUAACUUAUACUGUAGGUGUUAUGUAUUCCUAUGACAAAAAAAAAUUAAGUCUUCCAUGGUGAAAUUAUAACUAUUACAGUGUAGGAGAACACUGAAUAUGUUCUCUGAAUGAGCCUUUGUGCUUUUUGUCAUGUUAUGCAGUGAACUAUUUUUAAGGUCUAAUCAGUGGUUCUUUUUUUCCAACUCCGUGUUUCUCUAAGGAAUUCUUUCACACACGGACCAUUCUUAGCAGUUUUCCUCAGUGAUGGAAUAUCAUG
rnacentral:lncRNA from 1 species